rnacentral:lncRNA from 1 species
UUCAGUUUUGAAAGGCGAAAAAUUGAUAAGAUAGCCAUAGGACUGUUGCACUUGUCAAGUCUUUUCCCCAAUAUCUUUACUCUUUCUGGCAUUUGCUAAUUCUUGUAACCUGUGGAAAAGUCAAAGGGUAUUUAGAAGAGCACAAUGUCACUUGUGAUUCAAUAACAGAGCAAUAUGUAAAAAACAACAUUAUCUUCAUAAGCAUAUCAGUAUUCAGAGAAUCUUAAGAAACUAUAUACCUUUUAUGUUUUUAUAACCUUGUAUGAAGUAUUUUUAUCGCCAAUAUACUCUCAUCUGCACACUACAUCCACCCUGCAUCAAAUGCACAUCUAUUAUUAAUAAUGAACUCAAUCUUAAUAUUUCAUCUAUCUUUGGUCCUGUCCUGCUGAUCAAUAACAUUAACAGAACUUCAAGGUAAGAACCAACCUGAAUUGCGUAGGAAAACCUGAUAGGUAGCCUUGGCUAGCAAUACAACAUAGUGGUAGCUUAGUAGAUAAAACAGCACAAUCAUACUUUCAAAACAACAACCAGGUUAAUCAAGUAUCCAGAGACCCAG